AAGUUAGAUAGGUUGUACUAGCCCAAACCCACAACUAACAGACAUUAUCCACUUUGACCUGUUACAUAUAGCCACCAGCCUCACGGUUUAAAACACAGGUUUCCACACCCUAAUAAGGAAUGUUUCGUUCUCCUCUCCAACCGAUGUGAGAUCUCACAAUCCAUCCCUCUGAGGGCCAGCGUUCUCACUGGUGCACUACUUGGUGUAUGGCUCUAGUACCAUUUGUAACAGCUCAAGCUCACCACUAGCAAAUACUAUCCAUUUUCACACAUUACGUAUUGCUGUCAGUCUCACAAUUUUAAAACCCAUCUACUAAGGAAAGGUUUCCACACCCUUAUAAGGAAUGCUUCAUUCCCCUUCUCAAUCGACGUGGGAUCUUAGAGAACCGUCUUGUGUGGUUCAUAAAAUUUAAACAGAUUUCAAACCAAGGCAAUGAAACCACACAACCAUUUUUCACUCUUA